AGUGAACGCUGGCGGUAGGCCUAACACAUGCAAGUCGAACGGCAGCACAGUAAGAUCUUGCUCUUACGGGUGGCGAGUGGCGGACGGGUGAGGAAUACAUCGGAAUCUACUUUUUCGUGGGGGAUAACGUAGGGAAACUUACUCUCAUACCGCAUACUACCUACGGGUGAAAGCAGGGGAUCUUCGUACCUUGCUCGAUUGAAUGCGCCGAUGUCGGAUUAGCUAGUUGGCGGGGUAAAGGCCCACCAAGGCGACGAUCCGUAGCUGGUCUGAGAGGAUGAUCAGCGACACUGGAAAUGAGAAACGGUCCAGACUCCUACGGGAGGCAGCAGUGGGGAAUAUUGGACAAUGGGCGCAAGCAUGAUCCAGCCAUACCGCGUGGGUGAAGAAGGCCUUCGGGUUGUAAAGCCCUUUUGUGGGGAAAGAAAAGCAGCAGGUUAAUACCCCGCUGUUCUGACGGUACCCAAAGAAUAAGCACCGGCUAACUUCGU
rnacentral:rRNA from 1 species